AUUGAACGCUGGCGGAAUGCUUUACACAUGCAAGUCGAACGGCAGCACGGGGCAACCUGGUGGCGAGUGGCGAACGGGUGAGUAAUACAUCGGAACGUGCCCAAUCGUGGGGGAUAACGUAGCGAAAGUUACGCUAAUACCGCAUACGAUCUACGGAUGAAAGCGGGGGAUCGCAAGACCUCGCGCGAAUGGAGCGGCCGAUGUCAGAUUAGGUAGUUGGUGGGGUAAAGGCUCACCAUGCCAACGAUCUGUAGCUGGUCUGAGAGGACGACCAGCCACACUGGGACUGAGAACCGGCCCAGACUCCUACGGGGGGCAGCAGUGGGGAAUAUUGGACAAUGGGCGGAAGCCUGAUCUAGCCAUGCCGCGUGUGUGAAGAAGGCCUUUUGGUUGUAAAGCACUUUAAGCGUGGAGGAGGCUCUUAAGGUUAAUACCCUUGAUGAGUGGACGUUACUCGCAGAAUAAGCACCGGCUAACUCUGUGCCAGCCGCCGCCGUAAAAC
rnacentral:rRNA from 1 species